rnacentral:rRNA from 1 species
CUUGCGGGUAUGCGUCAGCUACGGCGAGUGAGCGGCAAAAGCUCAAAUUUGAAAUCUGGCACUUUCAGUGUCCGAGUUGUAAUUUGUAGAAGUAGUUUUGGGACUGGUCCUUAUCUAUGUUUCUUGGAACAGGACGUCAUAGAGGGUGAGAACCCCGUAUGAUGAGGCCCCCAGUCCUUUGUAAAACGCUUUCGAAGAGUCGAGUUGUUUGGGAAUGCAGCUCUAAGUGGGUGGUAAAUUCCAUCUAAAGCUAAAUAUUGGCGAGAGACCGAUAGCGAACAAGUACAGUGAUGGAAAGAUGAAAAGAACUUUGAAAAGAGAGUGAAAAAGUACGUGAAAUUGUUGAAAGGGAAGGGCAUUUGAUCAGACAUGGUGUUUUGCGCCCUUUGCUCCUUGUGGGCGGAGGAUACGCAGCUCACUGGGCCAACAUCAGUUUUGGGAGCAGGAUAAAUCUGUAGGAACGUAGCUUUCUUCGGGAAGUGUUAUAGCCUAUGGGAAUACUGCUACCUGGGACUGAGGACUGCGUCUUUUGACAAGGAUGUUGGCAUAAUGGUUAAAUGCCGCCCGUCUUGAAACACGGACCCA